GUGCUGGCAGUGGUUAUGGCGCCAGGUUAAGGUUACCUUAAUUCUCAAAUUCCUGGUCACGAAAGUGGCGUGGGUUCGAAUCCCACUCUGUUCACCA
rnacentral:tRNA from 1 species